GGAGAGAUGGGUGAGUGGCUGAAACCAGCAGUUUGCUAAACUGCCGUACUCGCAAGGGUACCGAGGGUUCGAAUCCCUCUCCCUCCGCAA
rnacentral:tRNA from 1 species